UACGAAGGGGGCUAGCGUUGCUCGGAAUUACUGGGCGUAAAGGGCUCGUAGGCGGCCAACUAAGUCGGAUAUGAAAUCCCCAGGCUUAACCUGGGAACUGCAUCCGAUACUGGAUGGCUUGAAUCCGGGAGAGGGAUGCAGAAUUCCAGGUGUAGCGGUGAAAUGCGUAGAUAUCUGGAGGAAUACCGGUGGCGAAGGCGGCAUCCUGGACCGGCAUUGACGCUGAUGAGCGAAAGCUAGGGGAGCAAACGGG
rnacentral:rRNA from 1 species